rnacentral:rRNA from 1 species
UAGAGUUUGAUCCUGGCUCAGGAUGAACGCUGGCGGCGUGCCUAAUACAUGCAAGUCGAACGAACUUCCGUUAAUUGAUUAUGACGUGCUUGCACUGAAUGAGAUUUUAACACGAAGUGAGUGGCGGACGGGUGAGUAACACGUGGGUAACCUGCCCAGAAGCAGGGGAUAACACCUGGAAACAGAUGCUAAUACCGUAUAACAGAGAAAACCGCCUGGUUUUCUUUUAAAAGAUGGCUCUACUAUCACUUCUGGAUGGACCCGCGGCGCAUUAGCUAGUUGGUGAGGUAACGGCUCACCAAGGCGAUGAUGCGUAGCCGACCUGAGAGGGUAAUCGGCCACAUUGGGACUGAGACACGGCCCAGACUCCUACGGGAGGCAGCAGUAGGGAAUCUUCCACAAUGGACGCAAGUCUGAUGGAGCAACGCCGCGUGAGUGAAGAAGGGUUUCGGCUCGUAAAGCUCUGUUGUUAAAGAAGAAAGUGGGUGAGAGUAACUGUUCACCCAGUGACGGUAUUUAACCAGAAAGCCACGGCUAACUACGUGCCAGCAGCCGCGGUAAUACGUAGGUGGCAAGCGUUAUCCGGAUUUAUUGGGCGUAAAGCGAGCGCAGGCGGUCUUUUAAGUCUAAUGUGAAAGCCUUCGGCUCAACCGAAGAAGUGCAUUGGAAACUGGGAGACUUGAGUGCAGAAGAGGACAGUGGAACUCCAUGUGUAGCGGUGAAAUGCGUAGAUAUAUGGAAGAACACCAGUGGCGAAGGCGGCUGUCUGGCCUGUAACUGACGCUGAGGCUCGAAAGCAUGGGUAGCGAACAGGAUUAGAUACCCUGGUAGUCCAUGCCGUAAACGAUGGUUAC